rnacentral:rRNA from 1 species
UACGAAGGGGCUAGCGUUGCUCGGAAUUACUGGGCGUAAAGCGCACGUAGGCGGAUCAUUAAGUCGGGUGUGAAAGCCCUGGGCUCAACCCAGGAAGUGCACUCGAAACUGUCAGGCUUGAAUAUGGAAGAGGGUCGCGGAAUUCCCGGUGUAGAGGUGAAAUUCGUAGAUAUCGGGAGGAACACCAGUGGCGAAGGCGGCGACCUGGGCCAAUAUUGGACGCUGAGGUGCGAA